AUGGCAACCAAGAAACACGGUCCUACACCCUUUGAGGAACCUCCCUCCGCCUCUUCCUGUGAGGAAGAUUCAGUUAAAAGGGAUCAACUGAGGCGUAAGGUUUCGCACUCUGAACAAAAGCAAUGGAAGUUUCACCAAAGAGCAUGGUCAAAAAGCUUUUCAACUUUUCCAGAAGAUUGGAACACCGAAAAAAGAUUGGAACAUCUGUUGAUUUAUCAAUGUUUUGAACAUUUCUACUGA